UACAGAGGUCUCAAGCGUUGUUCGGAAUCACUGGGCGUAAAGGGUGCGUAGGUGGCGGGGCAAGUCAGGUGUGAAAUCUCGGGGCUCAACCCCGAAACUGCACUUGAUACUGCCUUGCUAGAGUACUGGAGAGGAGAUUGGAAUUUACGGUGUAGCAGUGAAAUGCGUAGAUAUCGUAAGGAAGACCAGUGGCGAAGGCGAAUCUCUGGACAGUUACUGACACUGAGGCACGAAGGCCAGGGGAGCAAACGGG
rnacentral:rRNA from 1 species